rnacentral:sRNA from 1 species
UGACUUGAGCGCCAGCGAGAGAGCGUUGCCGCAGGCAACGACCCGAAGGGCGAAGCGUGCAGCGCUGAGUAAUCCUUCCCCCACCACCA